rnacentral:rRNA from 1 species
ACAUGCAGUCGAGCGAGACAGAUGGGAGCUUGCUCCCUGAUGUUAGCGGCGGACGGGUGAGUAACACGUGGGUAACCUGCCUGUAAGACUGGGAUAACUCCGGGAAACCGGGGCUAAUACCGGAUGGUUGUUUGAACCGCAUGGUUCAGACAUAAAAGGUGGCUUCGGCUACCACUUACAGAUGGACCCGCGGCGCAUUAGCUAGUUGGUGAGGUAACGGCUCACCAAGGCGACGAUGCGUAGCCGACCUGAGAGGGUGAUCGGCCACACUGGGACUGAGACACGGCCCAGACUCCUACGGGAGGCAGCAGUAGGGAAUCUUCCGCAAUGGACGAAAGUCUGACGGAGCAACGCCGCGUGAGUGAUGAAGGUUUUCGGAUCGUAAAGCUCUGUUGUUAGGGAAGAACAAGUGCCGUUCAAAUAGGGCGGCACCUUGACGGUACCUAACCAGAAAGCCACGGCUAACUACGUGCCAGCAGCCGCGGUAAUACGUAGGUGGCAAGCGUUGUCCGGAAUUAUUGGGCGUAAAGGGCUCGCAGGCGGUUUCUUAAGUCUGAUGUGAAAGCCCCCGGCUCAACCGGGGAGGGUCAUUGGAAACUGGGGAACUUGAGUGCAGAAGAGGAGAGUGGAAUUCCACGUGUAGCGGUGAAAUGCGUAGAGAUGUGGAGGAACACCAGUGGCGAAGGCGACUCUCUGGUCUGUAACUGACGCUGAGGAGCGAAAGCGUGGGGAGCGAACAGGAUUAGAUACCCUGGUAGUCCACGCCGUAAACGAUGAGUGCUAAGUGUUAGGGGGUUUCCGCCCCUUAGUGCUGCAGCUA